AUGCGUGAGCCCGAAAUCCCUUUGAAACUUUGUGUCAUGGACAGCCGGGGCAGGCAACCACAUGUACUGGUCAUACCAUGUCCUGUAUAGGGUCAAGUUGCCCCUCUAAUGAAGUUGUCACACAAGAUUGUUGAUCAUGGGAUCAAGGUCACAUUUGUUAACACUGAGUUUAUACAUGCAAAAGUCACAGCUUCAAUGGUAGUGAAGAGUGAAGAGAAGAGCCCAAUAAGGCUAGUCUCAAUCCCAGAUGGGCUAGAACCUGGGGAUGAUCGAAAAGAUGUUCUUAAGCUGACACAAAGUAUGCUGAAAGUUAUGCCAGUCCAUUUGAUGGACUUGAUUGAGAAAAUUAAUCCUAGAAUUAAUCAGUCAAAUGAUGAUGAUCAGAUCAGUUGUGUCAUUGCUAGUAUAGCGGCUGGGUGGGCACUAGAAGUUGCUGAGAAGAUGGGAAUUAAAAGGGCGGCAGUUUGGCCUGCUGGACCAGGAAACUUGGCUUUUUUACUUCAUGUCCCGAAGCUUAUUAAGGAUGGAAUAAUAGAUACUAAAGGAACUCCAAUAAAAGACAACUCGAUCUGGUUGUCAAAGGAAAUCCCAGCAUGCAGUAGCACUGAGUUGCCUUGGAGCUUUCCAGGAGACUCAAAGCAACAAAACAUUAUUUUUGAAUAUUAUGCUUCGAGAGUGAACCAUUAUGUGAAACAAUGCAACUGGCUUCUCUGCAACUCAUUCCAUGAACUUGACUCAGCAGUCUCCGAUUUAAUUCCUGGGAUCAUACCUAUUGGCCCAUUACUUUUGGGCAAUCAAUUGAGCAAUUAUGUUGGAAGCUUUUGGCCUCAGAAUUCAACUUGUCUAAGCUGGCUUGAUAAACAACCUGUGGGUUCAGUCAUUUAUGUUGCCUUUGGCAGCAUAGCAACCUUUAGCCAGAAACAAUUUGAUGAACUAGCACAUGGUCUUGAACUCAUAGGCCAAACUUUUUUGUGGGUUGUCCGAUCAGAUAUAACAGAUGGACCACUUGCUGAAUUCUUGCAUGUGUUUAGAACAAGACUAAAUGAUCGUGGAAUGAUUGUUGAAGGGCACCUCAAGAGAAGGUGUUAGACCACCCUUCUAUUGCAUGUUUUGUAAGCCAUUGUGGAUGGAAUUCAACCUUGGAGGGUAUAAGCAUGGGAAUCCGAUUUCUAUGUUGGCCUUUCUUUUCAGACCAAUUCCAUAAUAGGAGUUACAUAUGUGAUGUUUGGAAGAUUGGUUUAGGGUUGACCCCAGAUGAAAAUGGGCUCAUCACGAGGCAUGAAAUCAAAACAAAAAUAGAAACAUUACUCUCUGAUGAUGGUAUAAAAAGAAAUUCAUUGGAGCUAAAGAAAAUGGCCAAAACGAGUGUAACUGAAGGUGGAUCCUCUUCUAAGAAUUUCGAAAGCUUUAUUGAACAAUUAAAGCAUUAAGGAUGUUAUAAAGUAUUACUGUUAUAUUGUUUCUAAGUGUUUUCAAGUAUGUCCUUAUUAAGAUAUUAUUUUGAAUCAUGUUCCAUAAAAAUGAAGCUUUAGAUUGAAAGAAAUAUUGUGCGUGUGUACCAACCUAUGUAAGGGUUUGAAUUUCCUUAAUGGAUUGCAAAGUUAGCAUCAUUAGUUGAACAAGCUUUUAGUGCUUCUUA